GGGAAAUGAUGGAGGAAGAUGAGGGGCAGCCCUGAGGGAAGAUCAUGGAGGAAAAUGAGGAGCAGCCAUGAGAACUGACGGGAGAUCAUGGAGGAAGAUGAGGAGCAGCCAUGACGGGAAAUGAUGGAGGAAGAUGAGGGGCAGCCAUGGGACCUGAGGGGAGAUCAUGGAGGAAGAUGAGGGGCAGCCAUGAGGGAAGAUCAUGGAGGAAAAUGAGGAGCAGCCAUGAGAACUGACGGGAGAUCAUGGAGGAAGAUGAGGAGCAGCCAUGACGGGAAAUGAUGGAGGAAGAUGAGGGGCAGCCAUGGGACCUGAGGGGAGAUCAUGGAGGAAGAUGAGGGGCAGCCAUGAGGGAAGAUCAUGGAGGAAGAUGAGGGGCAGCCAUGGGACCUGAGGGGCGGCCAUGAGGGGAGAUGAUGGAGGAAGAUGAGGAGCAGCCAUGAGGGAAGAUCAUGGAGGAAGAUGGGGGCAGCCCUCAUUCCUGCUGCUUUGGAAUAUUUUUUCUCAGGUGUGGCAGCAGAACAAGCUGCCUCCCAUCCCAAGCACGUCAUGAGCUGACUGAGAAACCCAAGCCUGAGGAAAUUUAAGAGUGUUUCUGGAGGAUUUGGGCUCCUGCAUGGAUGCACUGGAGAAGGUAUUUGGUUUUAGACAUUAAAAAAAUACAUUAAAAAAAUUUUGUUGGGAAAUCA